UAAACAGACACACUGCCAAUCAUACGUAAAUACACACAUAUAUAUGUACCUAUGGUUACCAAUGACCUCAUUCUAAUUGACGGGAAUUAUAAGUUUACUUUCCAUUUCUAACACCGUCAUUUACCAGCGAGACAUGUUUCUCAAAUACGAUCAACAAACAUUUAUUCCCUACAAACUAACGGAAGGUUCAGACCCGUAAAUUGUGGAAAUACAAGAACAAACCUCCAGGUCAGCUCCGAUAGAUCAGACCAGACGUAUUGAUCUUCAUCAAAGGCGUUCCACUUAUGACCAGGUCUUUCAUACGAAUUAUAUCUUUUUUACGCAGCCGCGGCCAUCUUGUUUAAUAUUAAGACACAAUACGAUUCCUUUAAUCAUCACAUUUUCUUUUUAUAUUUUACAUUAUUUUUUCUUCCCCCCUUCCCCCCAUAUUUGUUUGUAAACGAUAUCAUGCAUUUUACAAACAAAUAGUGUUGUUGGUUAAUGGCUUUCAUCAGACCAACCACAGGUUCACAGCAUUUUCUGAUAUGUGUGACUAACAAGAGAAAUAUCUCUUGUCUGUACAACGCCGGCAGAAUGCAAUUUCACAAAGUAGUCGUUUGUUUUUCAAAGCAAUGGGCGACUGAGUUUUUGUUUUCCGUCCAUUUGUAAAUAUUUUGUUAAAUCGCUGAUAUAGCUGGCUGUGUGGAGUGUGAUUAAGAAAAUCGGUUUGCAAUCUAGGUGGUUUCGGUUUCGGUUCCAUUGCAUGGUACCUUGGGCAUGUGUCUUCGUUGCUUUUUAUAGCUGCGGCGGACCCACGAAUGCCCUGUGAAAGGGAUUGCAUAGUCGGAAGCUGUUUGGAAAUAUUGAUGUGAGUGUGCGUGUGUGUGUGUGUCUGUGUCUGUGUGUGUGUCUGGAAGUGUGUGUGAGUGUGAGUGAAUGUGCGUGUUUGUGUGUGCGUGUGUAUUCGUGUGUGUAUCUGUAUGAGUGUCUGUGAGUAUGUGUGCGCGAAUGUGUGUGUGUGUGAGUGUGUUUCUGUCUUUGUGUGUCUGUGUGUAUUUUAUAUUUUUAUUUAAAAAAUUAAAAAAUAAAAGAUAUAUGUAUGUUCAUGUUUUCAUUUCUACUUUUCCUGUUUCCAUGACCAAAUCUGUA